rnacentral:lncRNA from 1 species
AUAAUUCUCUAAAGAUACAAGCAGCUAUUUGGCUCAACUGAGCCGGAAGACUUCCCAAUGGCGUUAAUGCAUGACGAAUGAGCCGGCUCAUUUUUAUAGGUCAGCCUAACAUCUUCCAAGGUAAUCCUCUGGUUGCAUUGACAUAAAAAGUGUCUGAAAUCUCCAAUAAAUUUGUAUCUAUAUUGCUAAUCUGAAGCAUAAAAAUAAUCUCAUUAAUUAUAAGUGGCAGCUAAAUAAGCUGAAAACAAACUGAAAAAAAGCCAUUUAUUUACACCUGCCAUUGAUAGGCUUUUAACACUGCAGGGUUCACCCAUUCCAUAAAGAUCUUUCCAUUCAUUAGACUACAGAUUAGUGCAAACUGAAAAGUGAUCCCCCUGUUAAUGAGCAAUUUGUUUCGAAUAUAAGAAAUUAUCAAUAUGUUCAACUAAUCUUAGAAAAAAGUAAAAGUUACUUUGUGAAUUACUUACUUUUUUAGUAAAAAGGUUUUUAAAUUUUCUAAGUAUCUAAAUGAAAAAUUUGACGUGAUAGUUUGGACAUUUAUCGACUAGAUUGUCACGUCAUUUUUUUCGAUAGUCAAACUAACACACAUGAAAACUCGAUUGGAAUAAUGUUUAAUGUCAGUGACUAAAUAGUGUUAAAUGUCCAUGAUCAUGAAAGUGAUAUAGUAUCAAGAGCGUGUUAGAACUUUUAAAAAGUUAUAAGUAAUAAGAAAGUUUUAAGAUAGGCAAGUUUUGAAAAGAAGUAAGAAACAAAUUCCAAAACAAGUAAUGUUAAAACCUUGGAAAAUGGCUCUCCAUCAACUAUAAGAUCCAUCAAUUGGACGGCUGUGAUGGCCCCUGUUACCAUGCCGAUCCCGAUUCCAUGCAGUAGACCGGUUUCUGUAGUCUUCACCCUCACCCCAUUUUAAGUUCCUGUAAAUGUAGCUGAUUUAACUGUCACAUUUUGCACUCCGGGGUCUUGCAAAUCCCAGCCUAGACUCCCAAUGCUGGGGAAAAGGAGCACAAAUUAGUUAACUCAGCUUAAUAAAUUGUUGGGAUACAUUAUGUCAUACUUCCUCUAUUACAAAAAAUAGAAUUGCUUUCCUUUUUCGUCUGUCUCAAAAUAUUGGUCACUUUCCUUGUUGAUAUUAUAAUUAAUUUCUUAGUUUUCUAAUAUACUCCUAUUUGACGUGUUAUCUUAUGAAAAAAUAUGAAUUAUUCUUAUUUAAACCAUUAUUUAAUGUAGAAAUAUGUUAGGAAAAAAUAUAAGAAAAAUUUAUAUUUUCAACUAUUUUACUUACAUGUUUCUUAAUUCAUGUGAAAAUAUAAAUAUGUUUAUCUUUGUGGGACGUAAGGAGUACGAUUACAUCUAUUUUAAUGAAGAUUGUGUAAUUGAAAAUGAAUACUGUAGAAAAAUUAUGUGGUAAAAUGGUUGACAAACAAAAGCUAUAUCUAUUGUGGCUGUCAAUUUUUAAUUUACGUUUUUAGUACCUGAUUCCAUGGCCAGGGCCGCAUGCAAUGGUCUCAAUCCACAAGUUCGAGGUGCCGAGGCCUAUAGAGACACAAUCAUCUAGGGUGACAAUCCGAGAGUUCAUAAUUGUGACUCCUGUUGAUUUCUCCACGUGAAUUCCGUCAGUGUUUGGGCUGUUGCCUGGUGCAGAAACCUUUAUUCCCACUAGCUUGGUAUUGUGGCAUCCAUCAACAAGAAUGUUGAACUUCUGGCUAUUUAUUGAAGACAAUCAAUUCAUUAUGAUGUUGUUGGAAUUGUAGAAGGCCAGUGUCUGAGCAAGAAAGAAUCGAAAAAUUACGUUUGAAUGUACAAGAUGAUAUAAAGUAAAAUCCACUUUCUUCUUUAUUAACAUACCGUUGCUCCGGUUGGACAACUCUUGCCGGAAUUUUUGCUAGCCCACAAAUUAGUCCCUUGGCCAUCUGGGGUUCCACCAAUAACAGAAACUCCAGUCACACUUUCGAACUUGAUCCAGUUACCAGAAUUUCCAAUAACUUUAAAAUCAGAUGGAGCUACUAGUGUCCUAUCAAUUUGAAUCGUUAUAGCAGUGUUUUUCCAUGACUUGCCAACAAAAGUUGUAGCUCCAAGCAUCUUCCCGGUGGCACGUAAAUGGUGGCCGGCUGUGUAGUAGCACAUGCUGAGGUCCAUGCACUCAAGAAUGCCUUGGUACAAUCAGUUUUUCCACCAGAUUUUGCUCCCAAACUUUGGACAGUGGCGGAUACAGACAUUUUACAUUAGGCGGUCACAAUCAAAUUUUAAAAAAAAAGCGACGAAAUUUUUUUUAUUACUUUAUAUGGGUUAUAAACUGUACUUUUUUAUCUAGAUUAUUUUUAUAUAAAAAAAAUUUUGAUCAUUUUUAGGAUUUUUUUUUUAUUAUUGUUACUUUUUCCUCUCAAUCUAUUAAUUUUUUUUUUAAAAAAAUAAUCUAAUAAAUUUCCUAAUAAAAAUUUUGACGUCAUUUGAAAAAAAAUAAUUGAUCGAGGAAAAUGUAACAAUAAUAAAAAAAAAUCCUAAAAAUGAUUUAAUUUUUUUCAGAUAUAAAAAUAAUUAAGAUGAAAAAGUAAUAUAACAAUUUAUAACACCUAUGAAGUAAUAAAAAUUUUAUUAAAAAUUUUUACGUCCAAAAAUAAAUAAAAUUUGACGUCAUACCACAUAAAAAAUUUCCUAAUAAAAUGAUGUAAACUAUAUUGAGAAAUUUUUCACGCAAAAAUAAUAAACAUUAAUAAAAUAAUUGAUUUUUUUUUCAAAAAAAAACAAGUUAUACGUCUUUUUUUAGUAUACACGUUUGACGUACGUUUAACUAUUCUCGAUAUUCAUUUAGAUCAUUCGAUGUGUUUAUAAUAUAAUUCUCGAAAUGAGCUUCAAGAGGAUAUAGAAGAUUUAUAGAUAUGACUAGCGUAUAAACGUCGAAAAUUUUUUAAAGUUAGCUUGUUAUCAAAUUUCUGGAAAUAUUAGUUUGAAACUGCCUAUUUUGACGCAUCAUAACAUUUGCUACGAUUGGCCAUUUCGCACAACAUUAACGACAUAAAAAUACUAGCUUGUGAGUACUUCAAAAUGAUAUUAAGAAUAUAAUAUUUCAAUUUCGUUUGAUAUUUCAUUGUGAGCCCGAAAACUAAGAUGACGACGAAAAAAAAAUGGAAAUUGGAGGGUCAAGUGACCCUUGGGUCUGCCCCUGACUUUGGACAUUGUAAUUAGCAUUGGCUGCAAUUGAUGAGUAGUGGAAGAAGGUCCACAGGAAAUAUUGGAAAGCAAGGAAAAAUCUUAAAGCUCCAGCCUUUUUUUUUUUUUUUCGUCGUUUGUAUUUGUGUGUUAUAGAGAGAGAGAGAGAGAAAGAGUGGAUGAGGAGAUGAAGCAGUUAUAAGAGGUAUUUAUAGGCUAUAAGUUGAGUGCAAAUUUGGCCGAAGUUGGAUUUUUGGAGAUUAGAGAAAAUUUGUUUGGACAAAUAAGAAUUUCAAGUUAUUUAGUGCAAUAAGAAAAUAUAUAUUUUUUAGUAAAAAAUUACAUGAUCCAUCUAGAAUAGUUUAGUUUAUUUAUUAAUUUGUUUAGGAGUCAUCACCCAUAUCCCUGAAUUUAUUGUUGGUUAUUUUGAUUGUUUGAGCUAAGUAACCAUUGUUUCAUUUAUUUAAUUUGUGAAAUUUGAUUUUUCAAAAAUAUGAUAUCGUGUAACACUCAAACCAACAUAGACCCUAGGGAAAGCACGAUGAAUAAGAUUAUCAAACCGUCACACACAGUGCCUUUUACAGUCAACAGAAAAAUUUGGGGAGUACCUUUUUACUUUUCUUCUCUAGGGUUUUUGUGCUUAUUUAUGCAAAUAUGACAUUAAAGAAAAUGUCAAUUUUAAGUUUGGGGGUAAAAUAACUUUUAGUUCUUGUUUUUCAUAUGUUUUUGUAUGUUUGUUUAAAUAUAAAAAAAGAAAAAUUUAAAGAAUUUUUUUUUUAAAAUCUCUUUUGUUUAGUAGUGUGCUUGUGUGGGUUAGACAAUCUGGCAGACAAUGAUGAUUUAAUUUGAGAUUUGGUGUUAAUUUAUGAACUUGUGAAUAGGAUGCAUGCUAGACUAAUUAAAGCUCAAUCAUGCAAAACUUGAUAUUACAAGCGUAAUAGAAUUGAAUUUGACAUUGUGAUUAAAUGAGUGGUUUAUUGCUUUUGAUAGGUUGGUCUAGUUGGACAUAGAUAUUUUACCUAAACCAUAUUAAACUAUCUACCCUUAGACCAAAUUUAGCUCAGUUUGAGGGUGAUUUUACUGUUGUAGGAAGAUGCGGUUGUGAAUGUGAAUUCCAUCUGUGAAAACUUAUGUAUGGAUUGUCUUACACUAACAUGAUAAAACUCUGCGAAAGUCUUAAGUUUGAGGUCGAUUUGUAUGAAUAAGUGUGUAAUAAGGGGCAUUGCAUUAAUCAAGACAUAUACAUUUGAAAAUUUUGAACUUCUCUCUGAAGCUUUUAUGACUUGAGUGAUUAAGUCUGCAAGUGUAUCUUAAAAUCUGGUGCUCUAAAGUCGUCUAAUUUGGGAGUCAUCGACCUAAAGCUUGCUACAGGGGUCAUUUAGAAAUCUUAAUGGAGAUGAAGUUGCACUUGUAAAAAAAAUAAAUAAAUAAAUAAAUCUCUUCGACGCCUUUUUUACUCAGGUCAAUAAGCCUGUACGGGUGUUUAAAACUUGGUGCCCUAAAAUCAUCUGAUUUGGGAGUUAUCGGCCUAAAGUCUGCUAUAGGGUCAUCUAGAAAGUUUAAUGGAGAGAAUGUAAAAAAUCAAAAAUAAAAAUAAAAUAACUUGUGAAAAACCAAAAAAAGAGCUUGUGCAUGAAAAGAGUAAAGCACUAAAUACCUUGGUUAAGCCCCUAACACUUAUUUAAGGAAAUUUGACCUUCGAUGAAGGAUAUUAGCCUAGUUGAGUUUUGGAGGUCGAACCAAUCAAAUAAUUGGAGAAUCCUUGUUCAUUGAAGUAUUGACUUGCAACUCUUAACAUCCACCUGAACUUGAGAGGGUGAGGAAAGUAAUGAAAUAUUAAACCUUAAGUUACACACUGAAAAGAGUGAAAAAAAUAAGUUUGGGGAUGUGUGAAUCUUACGAGUGAUGAAAGGACAUAUAUGAUCAUUAAGGGUUUGGAAUUGGAAUAACUUGUGAAUUCAUUAAUGUCUACUUAAUUCUUCACACACAGGUCGAUUUUGCACUGGAAGAGUGGACAUUGGUUUUGUAUCGUGACUUUGAAGCAUGUUUAUGGAAUUAACACUUAGAUCUUGAAUCUUGAGGUGAGAAACUCAAUUUUCCAACCAAAUAUUUUUCCAUAACUGUGUGUUUACUGCUAUUUAGUUUAUAGUUUUGUUUGAGGACAAACAAAUAUUUAAGUUUGGGGGAUUUGAUAAGUGUAUUUUUUACACUUAUUCGGUACCUUAAAUCGACAUUAAGUUUUUGGCACUGUUGCCAGGGAUAGGAGCCAAAGAUAAUUUAUUCUUUGAUGGUCCCCCUCCUCCCUCGAUCAUACGAUAGGUUGAUAUUCCUGGCGAAUCCGGUUUCGUUUAAUCAGAUUCUCCUCUCCUUUGGUUCUAUCUUUGAUAAAUGUAUUUUUUACACUUGUUUGAUAACUUAAAUAGUGAUAUUUGAUAGUUCGUUUGACAAAUUAUAUUUUAAAUUUUUAAAUUUUAUGUUUAAUAGGUGAAAUUUUAUGAAUGAAAAGGAAUUGAAGGAAAGAAGCAAAAAUGGGCGAAAAAUGACAAAAUCCAAAGUAGGGUUACUGAAUUGGCAACUGGAUGAAUCGAAGGAGUCAUUGGUUGCAUAAUUAAUUGGGAAAGGAGUGAAUUGGAUGACUUUAAAAUAAUUGAGGACUUGGAGAGAAAUAAGAUAUAAAUGGGCCUAAACUUGAAUUUACUCAGGCUGCACUUCAAGCGCAAUCGAAAUACAUAUGGAACUUUAACAAUUCAACAAUAGAUGGCAGAUUUGGACUUCUGGACCAUGAAGACACGCAUAAAUUAAAGUCCCCCUUGGAGUUAAUCAGUGGCUGCUAGGUUAUAUUUAUAUAGAGACAGACAAGAACGAGAAAGGAGGAGGAGACACGCACGGAAAUUGAGAGGUAGCAUAUUUUAUAUUUUUCACACUUUGAGGCUGCCUAUAUUUCCACGCACAGAAAACGGAGGGCCAGCCAAUAUUAUAGAAUUUAGCCACGUAUUUGAGGGCUGACUUAGUAUUGAAAUUAAUUUGUGGCAGCCAAUAUUAUAAAAUAUUAUAGAAUUUAGCCACAUAUUUGAGGGCUGACUUACUAUUGAAACUAAUUUGUGGCAGCCAAUAUUAUAGAAUUUAACCACAUAUUUGAGGGCUGACUUACUAGUUACUAUUGAAAUUAAUCUGUGGCGGCUGAAGGAAAGAAGUUGUUGGCUGCCAUUAAUAUAGAGAUAGAAGCUGUCGAGUGCAACGAUAAUACACGGAAAUUGAGGCAGAUUUUUGGAGAGAUACAUUAAAAAAGGGCAGCAGCUGGGGAAAGGAUUUACACAAAAGCAGCAAAGACGACAUAAGGCAUAAUUGGAAAUUAUUUACGUUCUAUCAACUUCCGAUGAUGUCUUCCAUAAUUUUUUUUUUUCCAUUAAUAUGAGCAGUUAAAUUUUAUUUUAGGAUGAACAAUGUAACUGACUUGGGAAUCCUUUUUUUUUUUUUUUUUUAGUUUUUUUUUUUUUUUUUUUUUAAAAAUUUUUUUUUUUUUUAGUUUUUUUUUUUUUUUUUUUCUUUUUUUUUUUUUUUUUUAGAUUUUUGUUCUUUUAUAUUUUAUGUGUGGAUUUUAAAUAUGUUAUCAAUACUUUGAAUUUUUUGGCCAAUUAUUCGAUGAUUUCGUGAACAAUAAUUAUGUAGAGAUGCAGAUUCUUGUUUAGACCACAUAUUAAAAUCUAAUCAAUUAAUAUAACGUAUAGAGAUAUUUAUAUUAAUUACUGUGGUCCUAUAGACAUUCUUAAAACUAUUAUUUCGCUUAAAUAAUGUUGAUUUGCAUAGAGAUAUGAAAUUGAAUGAUGUAGAUAGGCUCAAUGAGGACUCGAGAUGGAUAAAUUACCAUAGAACAAUUUGAUCAAACGCUACUUUAAUUUUAUGAAUCUCGAUAUUAGAAGUAAAGGUGACCAAUGGGUGAAUUUGUUCCACCCUAAUCUCCAUUUACUAAUUGAAUUCUCAUUCAUUUUCUAUUGCAUUCACGAAAUUUUUAGUAGUUAGAUUUAAAAAUCACAUUCAAUCAUUUUUUUUUUAUCAAAUAGAAGUUAUGAAUAAUAAAUUGAGUACUAAAGUAUAUUCCUCUUAGGAACAAUAAUCCGGACUCAAAAGGUCAACUUUACUAGUUACGAUCCGUCCACUUGCGGGAUAAAAUUGAUAAUAAGUUUUUGAUGCCGUUGCCAGGGAUAGGAGCCAAGGAUAAUUUAUUCUUUGAUGGUUCCCCCUCCUCCCUCGAUCGUACGAUAGGUCAAUAUUCCUGGCGCAUCUGGUUUCAUUUAAUCAGAUUCUCCUCUCCUUUGGUUCUGUCUUCCACCAUCUUUCCGGCUUGACUAAUGUUGUCUAGACCAAAUAAGUUUGACAUUUUAAGAUGGAACCUCGAUAUUUAGAAGUUGUUGAGAUAUUGCUGAAGAUCAGUUCAUUAAAUAUGUUAACAUGGAAAAGGUGUAAAGAUUUGCCAUAUUAUCCCUUUUUAUGUAAGACUGUUGAAGAUCGAACAUAGUGCAGUGGGACAUGGUUUUACAUAUCGUAAAAAUAUGAAAGUUAUGUCCAGUGACCUAAAACUAUGAUGAUAAUUAUGCAUAUAUUUAUCAAUUACAGAAACCACACUUAAUAGAAAAACAAAAUUUUCUUUUAUAUCCAAUUUCAGUAGCGAUAGGGUCAUAAUCAAUGUAAAAUACAUCUUCAUCCUAAUACACAUUUUCUUGAGGAUUUCACUCUAAUGGCGCAUUUCAUCUGAUCAGGAAUGUAUCGAAAAUUUAACAAGUUAACAUUUAUUAACUUGGACAUUAGUACAUAUUGUUUUAAAGGAAUGCAGAGGAAAAAGUUCUCACUGAAUUUAUAAAAAUAAAAAAAAUAAAAAUUAAUUAAUUUAUUGUUCAUUUAUUGACGUUUUAAUCGGAAUUGAAAAAUGAUGGAUCUAAUAGAGUGAAAUUUCAACUACUGAUGAAACAGAUAACAAAAUAGGUUGAAAAUAAAGAAGACUAAGAGUAUUUGUAAAAUAAAUUAGUGAAUUAGGCAACUUUUCUCGUCGGAAAUUAAUCUUCAAUUUGAACUAUGUACAGAAAGAAUGGCAUGUGGAUCGUGCAAUUAAUUACCAUCUUAAUUUUAUCUCUAUUCAUCAUUAGUUCGUUGGCUAUUGUUGGGGGGUCAAAUUUUAGGCAAUAAAAUUUCGUCCAAAAUGUGGUGUGUAACGUGUGGUUAAUUGCAUUUAUUUUUCAUCCAAAUUCCUACUUUGAGUGUUUGAUUGCAAUUUUUUUUAUUGAAAAUAUUUUUCGACUUUUGAAAAUAUGUCUAAUAUUUCUUGUUUUUAAGAAAAUAUUUUCUUUGGAGUAAGUAGGUUUUUGUUUUUCUCAAAAUAGGGAAAACAUUUUUUUUUCUAGGCAAUAUUUUUCAUGUCAAUUAAAUUACACUCAAAUUUCUUUAUGUAAUAAAGGAAAGCAAAAAAUUAUGAAAGGAACAUAAUUUAUAAAUGAACCCACGAAGCACGCGAAAAUACUUCCCAACUUUUAUAUUCGCAAUAAUAGAACAAUCACAAACUUGACAACGGAUCAAAAAAAAUGCACUCUAUGCUUUUGUGUCUCAUGUCAUGAGUAUAUAUAAAAUUCGUUGGCCUGUUGAGGUACAUUUCGCGAUUUACCUCCCUCACGAUACUCUAGGAACGAGACGGUGGGGACUCUCAAAAUUGGGGUUCAACCUUUUAAGAAUCCAAAGUUUUCCAUCCCGAAAACUGUCACGGCCAAAUAGGUAACCAACUUUCCUGUAGAAAUUGCUUUGCACGCGUUAAUUGCUUGAAGUAUAACUGCUGAAAGUAACCGCCUCAGCGAACUUAGUCCAGCUAACUCCAAAGUUAUCUGCAAGCCAUUGUUAUAAAAAUCGAACCAGAACAGUCGAUUCAACCCAAAAAUCGAUGAACCGAACAAUGAUCCGCGGUCCGAUUGACAAUAAUUGGUGCAAUUACAAAUGAACUGGUCAAGAACUCCUCAAACCGGUUCAUUACUGCCUUCAGCGAUUUUCAUUGAAAACGGAAACCGAUUCGUAUUGAACCGAUUUUUUUAUUAUUAUUAUUAUCAAAUUAGUCAAAACUUUAGAGCAAAAGGAGAUAUUCGAACCUCUAUUUCCUUGCGUAAAAAGUUGGAACCAUGACCAUUAUGGCACCUAUAAAGUAUUACCGUGAGUGAAAAAUAUAUAAUUGCUUUUAGCACAGCAACAAAAAAUAAAAUUUAUAAUAUAUUUUUGCUUUAAAAAAUUAAAAUAAGAUCAACAAUGACCCACUAGUUAACCACUAAUCCAGUUAUUCGAUAAUUUUUUUGAUCAAGGACCAGGUCAGGUUUGCUAACUAUGCCACAAGCUGAUUUCCAGGUCUGAAUACAACGAAUCUGCUAGGCUGUGUUCAGCCGAAGGCCAACCCCGCUAACUGCCUUACACUUCGGGCUCCACCCAUGCCAUGCUUCAUCCAUGCAUUAUCAAUCCAAUCAUUCCUGAAUGAUUAUCGACAAUAAUACCUUACAUAGAAUAUUCCUAGAAAUGUACUUUAUCCAAAAUAUCCCGAGUAUGGCAUCAACAUGGGAGCAAGGCACCACUCAUGCCUUAGCCGUUUCAGCACUUGUGACCAUCAAGGAAGUGACAACUAUCCAUUCCUAUAUAUUUCUCGUACCCUGUAUGUUUAAAUCUAAUUAAUUCUGUAAUUUUGAUGUAUUUUAAAAAGAAUUUACUAAGGACACCAAUUAUAAUUUGUGUUGAUUAAAGCACCAAAGCUUGGUCUAUAUUUUUAUGCCUCAAUCGAAAGUCAACGUAGUCCCCUAUCAUGUCAAUAGAUGAUAUUUCGGACUACGAGGAAGAAAGCCUUACCUUAGAACUUACAUCGAGAUGGAGAUGAAGAAUUAGGAGGUAAUUCUUUCCUUACAAAAUAUAUAUAAUAUUCAGUAUUUUGGUCAAUUUAAUUUAUUUUUGAAACUCUACUAAAUUGAUAAGCAAGAAAUUUGAGUUGUAAUUAUUAUUCUUGAACAAAUGUAAAUUUGUUCAAUAUCUUAACUAAUACAAGCAAGCCAACAGAUCUUUUGGAACAAGCAACUUAAUUUGUAUGCGAACAAACUGGCCAAUGAUUUAGCCACAUUAGAAUUUCUCGUAACUUGUCGCCAUACUUUACAUUUGUAACGAUGAUGCAAAUAGUAACAUGCACAAUAUCAUUUUUCCAUUAAAAAAAUUGUAUUCAGUACAUGAUUUGUGUAUUAAUGAAAUUCAUUUUUUAUCAGAAGUUUGAUAUAUAACACAAUGAAUAAUGGCGAGAUGAUUUAAAUUCAAACUUUUACCUUUUAUUAUAUUUAUUUAUUUAUUUAUGAAGUGCUAUGAUGAAAAACUCUCUAUAAUAUUGACUAUGUCAACCUUUAUAUCUUGUUAGUUGCGACACCCCACUCUAACACAAAUAUGAACUAAUAAUUAUUUCACUUUUGUAAAUGUGUACACAGUGUCCAUAAAAAAAUCUUCUUCAGAAUUUAAUAUCAAAUAAAAGAAAAUAUAUAAAGAUAGAUUUUCAGCUAUUAAAAUUUUUUGAUAAACCAAAAUUUUAGGCAAUCAACACUGUGUAUCACUUUUCUAAGCAACUUUACAUCAUCCACUCUCGGUGUCAGUCUCAAAAUCUUUGGGACUUUAGGACUUUAGGCCAACUUCAAAUAUAAGGCCCUUAUAUAUAUUUCAAAUAUAUAAUUAUAAACAAUAACACUUUUCAUUAAUAAAAAUAUUCAAAGUUACAAAAAUAAUGACCUAAAACUUUCAAACGUCUAAAUUAAAUUCACUUUUUUAGAAUUUUUUGAUGUGAUUACAGUCAAUAUGUUAUAAAAUUUCUUUUUCAAUAGACAUUAUAUCCAAUCCAGUCAAACUUUUUUUGUAACAUUGUAGAACAAUUGUAAGCUUUUAUCAACUCCAACAUUAAGAAGUUCCUCUCAGAAGAUGCAACUGCAACUGUAACUAUAACUGUAACUGUAACUGUAACUGUAACUGUAACUGAUAUAGUUAAUAAUAUGAUCUAUCAAUCCACACAUCUUGAGUUAUCAUCGGAGUACAAAUUUCAAAUAAAGAAUAUAUGAAAAAAAAUUGCAAAAUAUACUUGUUGAAAAAACUAAGAUAGAAGGAUGAUUCAUAAAUAUUAUUUUGUUAAAAAAUAGGGGGGGAAAGAAGGUAAAGAAAUCAAUAAACUUGUAUCAUUGAGAACUAAAACUCCAUAUUUAUAUAGAAGAAUUAGGACUACAAUGAAUAAUAGUCAUAAUAACUAGUGUUGCGAGGGUAUAAUGGUUAGUCAUUAAUAAAUAUAUAAUUUACAAUAUUCUCCUUUGGAUGACACAUUACAAAGUAUCUACCUCAUCAAAAAUAUUGUCAAUAAAACUCAAUAGGACAAAAUUUGAGCUCAAGAAAAGAGUACAAUUGCUCUCUUAAUUUCAAUAAAUGAAGAUUUUUGUAUCGAGUCAUUCAUGUUUAUAUGUCAAUAUAUUUAAUAUUGCAAUUCUGGUGAAACAUGUUUUUAUUGUCUUGUUAUAACUUUCAAGCAAUAUCUUCUUCAUAGAUGAUAUUUAUCAAUCUUUGUUUGUCUUUAGUCACACGAUAAUAUAUUGAAAAACAGAUUGUGUUGUUACUCUCUUCAAAAGUCAUAGACAAUUUGUAACAUAUAAGAGUAUAAUUUGAGGGUAUAUAUCAUGUAGGUUAUGAACAUCAUUACACAAGAAUAUGCCUCGUUAAAAACCUUAUUAGGAGAAGUCCUGUAGGAAAAAUCUUAAUAAGGAAAAAAGUGUGCAUUAUGCUUUUGAGUACAUUACAAAAGUUGUCUAUUUAAAAACCUUGUCAAAAAAUCGAUGGGAAAAAUCUUGAUCAAGGGAAAAAGAUUACAAUAUAUAUUUUCUCUCAUCAUGAUAAAACCACUUAAAUUAUAUGCUUCAGGUAAAUUUAAUAAUUCAAACAUAAAUUAAUUGUCAUGUCAGAUGAAUUAACUAUAAUUGCAUUUCAAAUUUCGUGCAUCGUCAGGGUGACAAGAUAUGGACUUAUAAUUGUAUCCACCAUUAUUUUGUAAGCUUUAUUAUGUUAAGAAUCAUACAUUAUAUGCUAUGACUUCAUUUUUCUGAUUUACCUUUUAGGUUUAGAUACUUCAAGUUUCUCUAACAAAUUUAAUUUGAUUAGGAUUAUGUCUUUUUAUUUAGCCAAUAAUUUUUUCGAUAGAUAUACUUUAAUAAAUUUAUUUCGAUAUCCUCGCUAUCAAUAAUAUGAAGCGAUACAUUACGUUAAAAUAUAUUGUCGACAAAUUUUUAUUUUAGAUUAUAUUUCUUUCUCAUAAUGACAUGCAUUAUUGAAAUAUCUCAAUUUUUAGCAUUUCAGGUACCUGAACCUCUUUUAGAGUUUUACAUUUUAUUUCAUAUCUAUAUACUCCUCCAAGAAUAUAUGUCUCCUUGAUGAACUAUCUAUGUUAAUUUCUCUAUUUUCUUUUUAAAAUUUUUAUAUCAGAAUCGAAUGUAAUGCUUUAUGCGUGUCAUAUAUACUUAUCAAAUAUAACAUUAAUUAAGUGUCCUUCAAUGACGUGAAUUUUGAGUUGGAGUAUUUAAAACUGGUAUGUGAGAUAUAUUUGACUCUUUGAUUAGUAAAUGUAUUUAAAUGAGAAAUCUUUUCGAAUUUUUUUUUUUAGGAUCCAGAUAAUAUAAUAAAGCAUAUAUACAUUAUUUUUAACCUCUUAAUUCAUCCUAAUAUUGAGAGAAUUGUUUAGUCAAACUGACAAUCAAUAGACAGUGUUAUAAAAUAUCACCCGCUAAAGUAUAAGAAAAUUCAUAAGGGUUCAAAAUACGUAUUUAUUUUCAGCAUUCUUUACCAUGCAUUGUGGUGGAUUAAUUGUACUUUGUACUAUAAAAAUAAUUUGUUGAAAAUACUACUUUCUGAUUUGAUCAUAAGUCAAAAUAGUGAGAAAAACUUUGGUGUUGGUACGAUGCUAAUAACAUUCUCUAAACAGAAGCGGGAAGUACUUUGUUCUCAUAGUAAUGAUUAAGAAAUAAAUUAGAGGGAUAACAAGCAAUAUUGCUAAACCAUAUUUAUCGACAUCACAGGUAAUAUUUAUUAAAAGAUUGAGAUUUAAGCUCACUAGUAUUAAUAAAACACAUUUUCUUUAUUGUAUAAUAUAAAAAUUAUACUCAUAAUUUAAAACUUGAACAGCAAUUUUGUAAACUUUAAGUUGCAAGCAUAGUGCAAUCAUUUAGUAUGUGUAUUAUAUUUAUUAAGUAUAAAUAAUAUUUAGAUGAUUAACAUGGAUAGUAACAACUCCCGUAUAACACCAUAAUUAAUUUUCUAGAUUAUAAGGAUUUAUACUAAAAUGUUUAAACCCUAACCUUAAGGGUCCCCCACCACCUCUGCCCUGGAGUAUCGUGAGGGAGGUAAAUCGCAGGUUAUGCCUCCAAGGGUAAAGGGUGGAAGGCUGCUUGUAUACUUGCACUUACCCAAGAGCCAAAUCCAUAUUUCAGGAUUCGAACCCUUGACGCAGCAGCCUCAAACAAAGCUGGAUUUCUCCACCCUUCCUUUUUACCACUUGGAGAUGUGCCCUGGGGGCAUAAGGAUUUAAUACUAACAUUAGGUUGUGAUGGUCAAUGACCAAUUUAUGAUAUAGAGAAUAAGCAUUAUAUGUAAAUUCGUUUGAUUAAGAAGCACCUUAUUCUCAUUAUAUAUUCAUUUGAAUUCUCAUUUUGUAUCAUUAUUGAUUCAGUAACGAUCUAACUAGAAACACUAACAAUAAAAUAUUAGGGUUAUUGAACUCAUGAUUCGAUAUAUUGUUUAUUUUAAUUGUAAUAAUAAAGCAUAGUAUAUUGUUGUGGUAAAAAUUAAUUUACUAGUCAAAGCGGCCCAAACCAUAAAAUAGUCCACAGGCAGUCCAGUUGCUCCAUCCUCGACCCAAGUUAUUAUAAGCUGAAGUGAAAAGCAUUAGAGGUAGUAGAUCAAAAUAAGGAAAUGACCUUAAGGAAAGAAGGAUGCCAUAUAGGAGGAAUGCAGCAGCUUACCGCCCUCAAUCCCUGGUGCUCGGCCAGGUUGUCUCUGAACCUAUGACAGCUUCCCCCGAUCCCAACAAUCUGGGCCAAGACCCACAUGUUAGUUCGAAAUCUCCAAUAAUUUAUCUUCAAGAUAAAUCACGUUAUGACUUAUCUAAAUCUGGUAAGAGUUAUUUGCAAAUGGCUCUAAUAUCUCAAUUGAACAGAUCGGAUUAGAUUUAGCUUCAACCAACUAUGAAAUCUUAGAGAAUCCCCUCCAAUCCCGCUUAAACGGUUAUCCCACUCCUAUAAAUUUUGCGGUCGAUCAAGCAUUCAGGUAUUUCAAUCCACUCUACUCUAAUUCACUUCUUCUUUCUUUCCAUAUGUCAUUUAUUCAAUUUUUGACAAGAUUUACUAACUUGACCGUCAGAGGGUUUUCGGCCGACACCACACCUGUGUCCUCUUAAGAUCUUUUUAUGGUCAUUUUCCUUCAUUCUAUUUUUCUUGAGUUCUGCAGGAUUGUUGGUGGCCUACUUGAUCUAAUUUCUUGGUUGUAGAAUCUUCCAUCUACAUGUACUAAUUAAGAAAUACUGUUAGAAACUUUGUAGGUUUCUCUUUAUUUAGUUGAGAAUAAAUUACUAUCAACAAUAGGUUCGUACCUCUGCAUCACAUAAUAUCAACUCUUAUGAAGAUUUUAUAAAAUUCUCAUAAAGCAAAAAAUCAAAUCUUCAUUUGAUAUUCUUCAAAAACAACAAAAUAAUGUUAUUUUUGAAUAUUUAUGUAGUUAGGUUUUGUUUAUUUACGAAUAUUUUAUCAGAAUAAUUUAACGUUGUGCUUCUUUGGGAGCAAUAACAAUUUAAGUAUAUCGACUAAAUGUGUAUAAAUAAUAUGUGAUCAACUACAACAUGCAAAAUUGGAUACAAAUAUUGAAUAUGAAAAAUAUAAUGAUUAUAAUAUAUACAUAGCAAUCAAUUAAAGAAAACGUGUCAGUUUAUCAAUUGGAAUUGAUAGGUGGAUGCGUGCACUAGAAUAAUUAUUUAAUGUAAUCAUGCAAUUUGUGUAAUUGAAACAAUAUGCAAUUCUUAUAUAAACAACCAAUUUAAAAGAAUUUGGUUGUUGUUCACGAACAGUUUGUCACGAAUGGACCAUUGUAUUUUAAUCAUAAUCAUUGAAUUUAAGAACAAUGGAUUAUGAACAUUUUAUCCAAAUUUCACGAUGAUUGGACCAUGAAAUGUUAAGAUAUCAAAAUUUUGAUCAUAGAUAUUUAGAAUGUCCACAUUCUGCGAAUUUAUGGACAAUUGAUUUUGAAAUAAUAAUAUAAUUCUUCCAUAGUAUAAGAGUCAUAUUUUUUCAUGAGUAUGAAUCUAAUAUUCUUUUAGAGUAUUGAUUCAUACUUUUAUCUAGGAAGCAGCAACAAAAUAUCUUUUUAGAAGUUUUACAGAACUAUUCUUGAAUUUAACACAUACAAAUAUUAUACUUUACCAAGAAUAACUAUAAAAAAUUAUUUUUGAGCAUUGUUAUUGUGUAAAUUUGUGUUUCUUAAGGAGUCAAAAAAAAAAUCAAAUAAAACAUUCCUUUUCAAAUAUGCUAAAAUAUUUUUCUGAAAUAUUGAUCUAGAUUGUUUCUUCUUCAAGAAUAAUUAUAUAAUAUUCUUCUAAAAUAUUGUAUCAAAAUAUUGAAAAAACAUAUAUUUAACAAAUAAUUAUCUGUCACAAAUUGAUAUUGUCAAAAUAAUAUAACCAAAUCCAAUAACUAUACCAUUUUGUUAUGCAAUUCAAAGUUACGUGAAUAGUAACAUUUUUUAAGCUAGAAAAGAAGAGUUUCUUUGUAAUUGUAGUAGUCUAGAAUUACUUGACUUUCUUUGAUUGAAGGAAAAAUUAUUUUUUUCCUACCUUAACUAACUAGAGAUUUGUGAGUAGAAUGAGGAAUAAAUUUUACCAAUUCGAUUGGCUAGACCUUUACGCUGAUAAAGCAUUAUAAAAUAAAGAGAAAAAAAUAAAGAAAUCAAUACACUAUGUAUUUCAUUGAGAACCGAAAUCCCAUAUUCAUAAGAAAAAAUUAGGAUUGCAAGUGAUACAAUAGUCAUGAUAAUUAGGAUUUGAGGAGUAUAGUAAUCAUUCAAUAAUAAACAUAUAAUUUACAAUCUAUAAAAUAUAAUAUAUUAAAAUAUCGCAUCAAGUGAGAAUCAUUUUUGGACGAUUUUAACCUUAUUACAAUUCAAUUAUUUCAAUAAUACUUUACGUUUUCAAAUAUGUAAUAAAUACUAUGCUAUUAAUUCUCAAUUAUUUAACAUUUGCAUUAAUUUAAACUCAAUGAUCUUCACUUGAUAAAUCUUAAUUUAUGUGAGUCUAGAGUAUUGUAGAUGAAUUUUAUUUCUAUUCAUGCAUCUAAGUAUUUUAAUGGGUGUUUAAACUCAUGGAUUAACAAUUAAUUCUUAUGUGGCAAUUGUAGUUUAAAAAUGUUGCUCAUUUGUAAUAUUUAAUCAUCACAAAAAUUCGAAUUAUAGAAGUUGAAUUUCGAGAAUAAAAUUUUUGUCUUUUAAAUUUCUAUUCUAAAUUUUAUUUUCUUUAAUUCAUUUGAGACUCAUCAAAUUCUCUCAAUAAAUUGGUAUCAAAUAUUAAUUUUUUAACACUUAUAAAGUAUUUUAAAAAAAACAUGCAAUACAUGUUCAAGUCUAACUGGUAUAUAAAAUAUAACAUCAAAUGAGAAUCAUUGUCCAAAAAAUUUUGACCGUACUAUAAUUCAAUUAUUUCAAUAAUACCUUACUUUUAAUUUUUCAAUACGUAAUAAGUUUCAAUAAUACCUUACUUUUUGUUUUUCAAUACGUAAUAAAUACUACAAAAUUCUUAUUAUUUUAUGAAUUUUGUGCUAUUAAUUUUCAAUUAAUUAACCUUCAUGUUAAUCUAGACCCAAUAAAUCUUAAUCUAUAUGAAUCUAGAGAUAUUAUAGAUGAAUUAAUUUCUAUUCAUGGAUUUAGAAAUUUCAAUGGGUGUUUAAAUUCAUUUAUCAGAAAUUAAUUCUUAUAUAAGAAAUAUAGUAUAAAAAGUUUGCUCAUUUAUAGUAUUUCAUCAUCAUAAAAUUUGAAUCAUAGAAGUUGAGUUUUGCGAGUAUAAUUUUUGUCUCUUAAAUUUUUAUCCUAUUUUUUUUUUUUUUUUGGUUAGUUUUAGACGCUCAAAUCCUCACAACAAACUAGUAUCAAAUAUUACUUUGUAGUACUUAUAAUAUAUUUUAAAAUAACAUGUAAUGCACAUUCAACUUUGACUAGUUUAUAUAUAUAUAUUAGAGAGAGAGAGAGAGAGAGAGAGAGGGGUGUUAAAGCAUCAUCACAAAAAAAAAAAAAAAAAUGAUUUGGACGAAAAAAUUCAAAAAUCUUUAGAAUAAUGUGUAAUGUACAUUCAACUUUGACUAGUUUAUAUAUAUAUAUAUAACAUCAUUACACAAAAAAAAAUGGAUAUGGACGUAACGAUUCAAAAAUCUGACCAAUUUUAUACUUUCAUAUAAAAAUUGGAAGACCAAGAGAAAAAUAAAAUGAAAACUCAUGAAUGUACUAUUUAUUUUUUAUUUUUAUUUUUUUUACACUGAAGAACAUAAGUCUUUUUGGGAAAUAAUUCUUUGUCAUAUAAAUGUAAGUAUUAUUUUGGGCCCUCAUCAAUGCAAGCCCUUGGACAAUAGUUUACCCUGCUUGAAGUCGGCGCUGGCACUAUUUGUGCUCAAUAUUGCUAUUGAAUUAUAGUUUAAGUUUGAGCAUUUUAUAUUUAAGGAUUUGAUAUUUCUACAGUUGAAAAUAAACACGAGAAUUUUGAAUGUUUUAGUUUUUGAAGCACAAUAAUUGUCUCAAUUGUGUGGACAAUAAAAUCUCUAUAGAAUAUUAAUAGUGGGAUCUAAUAAAAUUAUACCUAAUUUAUUAAAUGAUUGAUAUAUGAUGUGAAGCAAUUUCUAAUAAACCCUUCUAAACGUGAAGGAUGCGAACACCUAUUUAAUUAUCCUACUAAAAACAAUAAAAUCAUGGACUAGCCUACUAACAAAGUGAAUGCUUUGACGAAUGUGCCUAGAGAAAAUGAUCAUGAUUUAUAUGUAUGUGAUAAUUGUAUUUUACAAAAUCUUUUUUUCCAAAAGGAAGAUUUUUAAGCAUCAGUCUUUAAAAAAUUAGAGAUGCUGUUGAGUCUCCGUUGAGUACAAAAAAAACAAAUUUAUAUGCAUAUUUUAAAAUUAUAAAAUGAAAACAAAAAAGAAUUUGUCAAAUAAAAUUCAUUAAAAUGUAUUAGAAAAUGUUACAAAUUUAAUCCAUUAUUAUUUUUAUUUUUAUUGGCCCCCAAUGAAUUUUGAAUAAAACUAUUAUUUUAUUCAAUAAAGAAGAUUAUUAAUUUUUAGUAAAUUGGCCAUAGUUGAGAUCGAUGAAUUUCGUUAUUUAAGCUAGAUUUUUUAUUUAUCAAACACUUGUUUAUAAAAAUUUAUUGUGCACUAAUUUUUUGAGCUACAAUAUGUUUUUAAUUUACGCCAUAUUAUUUUCCCGUUUUCAAAGUUUUCUAACAAUUAAGUCAUCUUGUAUUAACAAUGACUGUUUUUGCGACAUUACUGAAUAAAUGUCAGUAGUUGAGAUGAUAAUUUGGACCAAAAUGGAGGAUGAUUUUCUUACUAAUUGUAUGUCACUCUACAUCGAAUAUCUUCUUCUUCUUCUUUUAUUUUUUUAAUUAUUUUUUUAUUUUUGCAAAUCGAGAAUUGAUAAUUGAUUGAGCCCAGGAUAGUUCUUGGUCCUAAACCAGAAUUGUAGGUAUCCGAAUAGAAUCGAUUUUUUAAUAUAUUUUUUUAUUUAAAUUUAUAGGUUGUAUAAAGAAACGCAAAAUCCAAAACCCUAAUUUAGAUAGUAAUUACCCUAAAACUCUAGACUUUAUGUAUAAGAAAUCAAGAUUUGAAAUCAAGAUUGACUCCUUUUUUUUUUUUUUUUUUGGCCUCUCACCUCACAUCAUAUUGCUGCAUUUCAGAAGUUAGUAGGUGUUAUUCUUUGCAAUUUAAGCUUUUUAUGUAUCGAAAAAAUUUAAGUUAGGUUGUAGUGUAAGUUGAUUAAUCAAAACGUUCAUCCUUUGCAAUUCAAGUUUUUUUACUUUCUAGUAUUGUUUACAAACUUAAGUGAUUUUUCAAAUUUAUUUAUUUAUUUAUAAUGUAUGAAAUUGAACUUGAUAUAUUUAUAGUUUGGGCUGUCGUGUACCUUUUGGGAUAUCUUGAGUUCGUGAUUCUCGUUUGAAAUAAAUUUUUCCUUUUUUAUUCAAAUAUAGUGAAUUCAAUAUGUAGAUUGCAAUUUUUUGAUAUAAUACAGUUACGUAUCUAAUUAGUAUUUCUUAUAUUAAGAGUAGAAGAAUUUAAGCAAUAUUCAUAAUUAAAUUAAAUGCUCUAACAUGCCUUGCUUAUUAAUCGAAUAAGAUUUAUUAUAAAAAUAAUAUACUUGUAUAAGUAUAAAUACUUUAAAUAAUUUUCUAAAGAGAUAAGCAGCUAUUUGGCUCAACUGAGCCGGAAGAAUUCCCAAUGGCGUUAAUGCAUGACGAAUGAGCCGGCUCAUUUUUAUAGGUCAGCUUAACAUCUUCCAAGGUAAUAUCACUGCAUGGAUUUCCUUUGCUGCAGUCAAAUUUCACUGCAGUUUCUGUUGCUGAACUCCCAUGUAUGUCUUGAUAUGUUACAUCACUAAUCUUCACGCCUGAAACCUGAAAAAAU